rnacentral:rRNA from 1 species
AACGAACGCUGGCGGCGUGCCUAACACAUGCAAGUCGAGCGCGAAAGGAGCAAUCCGAGUAGAGCGGCGCACGGGUGCGUAACACGUGGAUAAUCUGCCUCAGGGUUGAGGAUAACCUUCCGAAAGGUUGGCUAAUACUCGGUAAGCUUACGGUGACUUCGGUCGCUGUGAGAAAACUAGACCUCUAUUUAUAAGUUUAGGCCCAGAGAUGAGUCCGCGGCCCAUCAGCUAGUUGGCGGAGUAACGGCCCACCAAGGCUACGACGGGUAGCUGGUCUACGAGGACGAUCAGCCACACUAGAACUGAGACACGGUCCAGAAUCCUACGGGAGGCAGCAGUGGGGGAUUUUCCACAAUGGGCGAAAGGCUAAUGGAGCAACGCCGCGUGUGUGAUGAAGGUCUUCGGAUCGUAAAGCACUUUCGACUGGGACGAAAAACCUUUGGCUAACAUCCAGGGGCCUGACGGUACCAGGAGAAGAAGCACCGGCUAACUCUGUGCCAGCCGCCGCCGUAAUAC